ensembl:lncRNA
CUGGAGAGUGCCCUGCCCAGGGUGCCGGCUCCCCGCGGCCUCCCUUCCCCCAAAAUGCAGCUGGGAGGACCCUAGGCCCUGGCUCCACCUCCUCGAGACAGAGCUCAGGGUCCCCUUCCUGAAAGGACACAUUAACAAAGAGCAAUGCGAGAGAGAAAGAGAGUAGAGCCCUUGUCCUCUCUGCUCUGAGGAAAAUGAGAGCGACAGUUAAUGGUCCUGAGUCAUUUUCUGGGAAGAUGAGGGUGAUUUCCUGCUACAGGAAGGCACCCAACCGGGAGCCUGGUCCAGACUAGCAGGUGCUCCUACAGGGUUUGCUGAGUGAGCCUGGGAGAGCUGUGUGGGACUCCGUGGCCUCUGAAUGCUCUCCCCUCACCAGCCUGGGAGAACCUGGGAAAGACAAGGACCUCCCAGAAGUUGAGGAGCAGGGAGGGAGUGCGGGGUGGGAGAAGGGACCUCUUUUGUUGUUUUUUGAGACAGGAUCUUGCUGUGUGGUAUAGGGUGGCCUCGAACUCAUGACAAUCCUCCUGCCUCAGCCUCCCCAGUGCUGGGAUCACAGGUGUGCGCCACCACACCGGGCGGCCCCUCCUCUUCACACAGCCCCCUCUCUCCUCCUGGAAGCUACUGCACCCUGGGACUCCAGCCCAGAGGCUGGAGGGGGACUUUCUGUCUUCCCUCAGGUCACCCUGAUGUGGCCAGCAUGUGGGGCCUGGCCUGGGCGCAGCACCUGCUCGGCCAGUCUAGGUUGCUGGGCUGCUGGAAUGAGGGCCACGGCUGUGGCCUCCACACAGGGGCCUGGAAGGGCCUCAGUGGCCACAGGGGAUCAGCUCCGGGCCUUGGUCCUCCGUCUUCACAAAGCGCCUGGUGACCAGGAGAAUGGGCCGGUCACCUCCUUCCACAGAUUCUGCAUCACCAUGCCCGACUCCUAGCAGCCCUGGGCUCAGCCCUGAGCCUCGACUUCCUUCUCUGUCUGCUGAGGGAUGUGUGCACUGACCCCCCAAUCAACUGUAAGGAGGGCGGGGGUGGAAAAGCUGAGGACCCAGCCUGAAGUGCACAUCCACUGGCAACCCCAUCUGCGAGCCUCCACCUCCUCCUGAAUGAGGACCUGAGCUCCCCCUUGCAGUGGAGGCUGACUCAGGAUGCACUUCAGAGGAGGGAGGUGCAGUGUCCCCAGCCUGGCAGGUGGGGGCUUGGACUCCUCAGAGCCACCGCACAACCCGAGCCUGCACCCUGGGAAUCCCGCAGGGCACAGCCAAAGCCCCCUGAACCCUGAGCCACGCUGCCACCUUCUGGGCCCAGGGCCUGGGCUGGAUGUUGAGCAGUGGCCCCAUCAGAGGCCCAGGCGUCUCCCUGGUCUGAGCAUGCGGAAGUCCUGCAGCUGUCACACCCACAUCUCCUGGGCGCAGAAAACCUAAAAGCUAGAUGAGCGGCUUAUGUGAAAGUCAUUCCUCCCCACCACGAGGGACGUUUUGGUACUCUGUGCACAGCUAUAAUCCCAGCACUCUGGGAGGCUGAGGCAGGAGGAUCAGAAGUUUGAUCCCAGCCUGGGCAACUUAGCAAGUGAAUGAGGAGACCCUGCCUUAAAAUAAAAAAUAAAAAAGGGCUGGGGAUGGAGCUCAGUGAAAGGUCCUGGGUUCAAUCCCCGGUACUGGAAUAAAGGAAAAAAGAAAAGAGAGCAAGAUGGGUUUGGGUUGUGGGCAGGACCAGCUGAGCAAACCUGGUAGAAAGGGUGUUUGUGACCACACCAUCUCAUCGGCAUCAGCUUGGACAGAACGUGCUGAGGAGAAGAACAAAGCAAGCAUCAGCCCCGAGUGACCCAAAGGUGAUAACCGGCAGCAGCAGUUGUAGGAGGGCAGGGCGGUGAGGCCAGGGUGGAGGAGGAUUUCUGUCUUCCCCAGCAAGGCUCGGGAGAGGAGCUGAGCGUGCAGGUGGCCUGGCG